GAGGUGGAGGGACCUGGGGAAGGAAUCUUCAAACGCCGGCAGAGGUUCAAACGCGGUUACACGGAAAAAGUACGAGCUGCUGACCCAGUAAAGCCUCGUCUUCUGUCGCCGGUUCUCCGGGAGCUGUUCUCUGUGACUCGGUACACGACGGGAGAAAAUGUCUACCGUCAACUGGAAGCCUUUUGUUUUCGGCGGGUUAGCUUCGGUGACGGCGGAAUGCGGGACGUUUCCCAUCGACCUCGCCAAGACUCGCCUUCAAGUCCAGGGCCAAGUGGGCGACAGUAAAUACCGAGAGAUCCGCUACAGAGGCAUGCUCCAUGCUAUGAUGCGGAUAGGAAGAGAGGAGGGACCCCGGGCUUUGUAUUCAGGAAUUGCUCCUGCCAUGCUGCGCCAGGCCUCCUACGGGACCAUAAAAAUUGGAACAUACCAGAGCUUUAAGCGGCUGCUGGUUGACAGACCGGAAGAUGAGACGCUGCUGACUAAUGUGCUGUGUGGUGUCCUCUCUGGGGUCAUCUCCUCCUCCAUCGCCAACCCGACGGAUGUGCUGAAGAUCCGCAUGCAGGCCCAGGGACGUGUGAUCCAGGGCAGCAUGAUGGGCAACUUUAUUAACAUCUACCAGGAGGAGGGGACACGAGGACUGUGGAAGGGUGUCUCUCUAACAGCUCAGAGGGCAGCUAUCGUGGUCGGAGUGGAGCUGCCGGUUUAUGAUAUCACCAAGAAGCAUCUGAUCCUGUCGGGUUACAUGGGGGACACCGUGUACACACACUUCCUGUCCAGCUUUGUUUGUGGUCUGGCGGGAGCUCUGGCCUCAAAUCCAGUGGACGUUGUCCGGACCCGCAUGAUGAACCAGAGAGGAGGAGCGCUGUAUCAGGGAACGAUGGACUGUCUGCUGCAGACGUGGCGCUCCGAGGGCUUCAUGGCCCUCUACAAGGGCUUCUUUCCCAACUGGCUCCGCCUGGGACCGUGGAACAUCAUUUUCUUCCUCACGUACGAACAGCUGAAGAAGAUCGAUGUGUGAUGAGCAGAAUGGCGGCGUGAAGAUGAGACAAGUAUGAGAAAAAGCUCCAAGACGAGCUGAGAGGACCAAAAUGAGGGAUGGCUGGAUGGUGGUGGAUCCUUGAUGGAACCAACAGGGGGAAGGGGUUCACAAACGUAGACCUGCGUUAAGGGAUGGCAAGAGAAUUUGCCUGAUUCCUGUUUGGGCUGUUUGUCUCCUGAAGCCUGUGGCACCACAGUGAGGCGCUGUGGAGCCACACUCAACUCGACCCAGUUGAAAAACACCAAUAGCUCUUCAAAUUCCCAGCCUUCGACUUUGAGGCCACAGAAUCUAGCACAGUGGUGUUUCUCGGGGAUUGCCCGGCUUCUUUCAAACACACACGUUCGCGCAGCAUCCCACAAAACUCAUGAAUUUUUCAGGGGCAAGUCUAAGAUGUAAUUGUUUUAUUUCUGCGGGUAAAUUCCCAGUUUUCAGUCAUCGGAGCUGUUUGAGGAGACGAUGGGAGCUCAGGGGACUGGAGAGGGAAGUGUUGCAGUGAACUGGCAGAGUCUCUGUGUGGAUCUGUGCCUCGUUGUUUUAUUUAGGGACUAUCACCAGGGGACUUAUUACUUGUGUGAGGACUCUUAUUGUUGUAUCUGCUUCAUCUGAGCCACCAUGAGUUGCAUUGCCACGUUGUUGUUGGUGUGACAAGCAUGGCUGCGUGGAAUAACUCAAUUCCCAGACAUGCCGCAGAGUGUGAUGGAGGAGCUGGUUUUACCACUCAUGUACAGUGUAUAACGGCACUGUUUUGCAAAACCACCUGACUUCUAUGUCAAAUCAAGGCAGGAGAACGUGCCCUACUGUCCAUUAGGCGAGUAGACAAAAAGCUAAUAAGAAUAAUGUGUGGCUUGUGCCAGGAUUUGGCAUCUAUAAGUUGGCAUUAUAGCCCGCAGCCUGGCAUCCCGUCCCUGGCACAGUCCUCUACAAGCUGGACAAGUAUGGCCACAGGGGAUUCCAGCAGUCACAGACAUGCUACAUUAUGGGUAUUAUUUGCUGCCUGGCCCAAGGGCACAGGGGGGUUGGCUCCAUUGUGUUCCAGGGAUCAGAGUGAGCCUUUGUGUUGGAAGGAUAAGGCUCCACUCUGCUCCAAACGCCCUGCCCUUUCUCUCUCCUUCUUUUUUUGUUCUUUUCUCAGAUGAAAACGCUGCAACACACCGAUGAAUAAAUGGACGGAUAAUGGAUGAGCAGAUGGAAAUGUAGACAAGGAGACAAAUCUAUCGUAGUCUGUUGAUCCGUCUGGAACAAGGGACUGUGCUGCUUCCGUCCUGUACAGUCCUGACAAUGAAAGAAAUCACAGGCCUAUUGCAUUUUCUUCCCAGAACUGCAGUUGAGACAUGGGACCGAAAGGUUUCUCUUGAUGCUCACAAAAUGCCUGGAUGCUUAGUUUGAGUAAAAUGAAUGAUUUUCCCUCCUGAAAAUACAUUGUUUUCCGGGCCACGGACUCGGCAGAACAUCAAAAUGUUGUGCUUAGGAGGCUGUCUGAGACAUCUUUCUCCCGGAGAAAAAAAUAAAGCACAGCCAUGUGUAGUUUGAAAUGGUGCCCGUAGUAAAUAUUUUGAUGAGUUGCGCUGCUACGCCUGGUCUGUGAAGAACAAGCUGACAAAGUGAGGAUUUCAGACAAGAUGUCGAUGCUUUAGGAACUCUUUCCCUGUAAAACAACAAAGAUAAUUCUAUAGUAUAUUUCAGAAAAUGAAAACUCACAGCAAGGCAAGAUAAUAAAAAAACAACAUAAAGCAAUACUUGGAUGUUUUGGGAAAUGAUUUGCUUUCUUGCAGAAAAUUAUAUGAUUGAAACCACUUUCAUGUCAGCAGCGGGUUUGAUUAGACGGGGAACAGUUUAGAAAAGCAUGUGAAAACAAUUGAUUUCCAGAAAGUUAUACAAUAGAAUGUUUUUGGUUGCACUAGUGAAAUGUAAUCUUUCAUUACUAUUUUUUUUUGACUAACCAAGCAAGAUAACACACUAAUUAGAUUUUUUUUUUAGCUCGACGCUAAGCUAAGCUAACCUGUUGACUGUAACAUUCAGUCUAUGGACAUAUGACUGGUAUUAAGUAAGGCUGUCUUAUAGCAGAUUGUUACCACAUGGCCAAAAGAAUUUAGAAAUUUGUAGUUUCUUGAUUGGCUAAUGAAUUACAUAGUGUAAGGAGGUGAAGAGAGAGUCCGUAACCAUCACUGUAACUGCUGGAAUAUUUAUGAUAUAUUUGUUAUUAACACAAAAUCAGAAUUUUGUUGUUUAAAUAUCACGGUUAAUGUCAGCCAAUAAUCAACUCUUAGCACUAAAGGGAAACAAAGUGUGUAUCCCAAAAUGUUGAUUUCUUCUCCUUGUUCCGAAUCCACAGUGAAUUAAAAUUUCUAUUUAAAUUUAAUAAGAACCGGCUUCAAAGACCCUCUCCGGUGUUUUCAUUAAACCACUGAAACUCAUCUCUGUGUAUCAAAGUCACAUGUUUCUCAGUUUUUUUUCCAUGGAAGAAUGACCUUAGCCGGGCUCAUACUACAGGAGUUUAAAAUCCAAGCAGAUUUUGCAUCACGCACAUAAGGAGAAACCCUAACCACUGACAGCAUUACAUUACAAGGUCUGUAAAUAAUGGUGUAUCAAACACUACAGGAUAUUAUUAAGAUUACAUUGUGCCAGAAUGGAGCAGUUAGAGAAUCCUGUUCCAUCUCACAAGAUCUUAUGAGGAAGACUGUGGAGCAACAACUUGAUGUAACGCUAAUUAUACUUUACAGUCAGAAAGAAAACCCCCAAAACUAAACAAGUGUGUAUGAAGAAACAGAUAGGAAGAUGUAGUCACGGAGAUUUGACUAUUAUUCAGCGAUAACUGGAAUUGAGAUUUGAAUCAUCAGUUUUAUUAUCUGUAGCUAACGUUGGCCUCAAGGGCUAGAAUGUUUAGUGUUGCUUGGCAACAGCGUCCACUGCAUCUAGAGCUUCCGUGACAAUUGUGUUGAUACGGAUUUAACCUCGUAAACAACAGACAUGGUUGAUAAUAUCUGGGUAGCUCUGAUUAGUCUGUGAGCAGAUCCGGAGGUUUCUGACUGCAUCUGUAAACUCCUCACAUUAUCAAAUAAUCUGAGCCAAACAUUCGUUUAGCCUAAGAUCUCAGACCAGAUUCCUCCUCUAACUGUCGAGACGGGUGAAAUGGGGAUAAAUCUGAUCUAUCUGAUCUAAGUCUCUGCCUCUCUCUUCAUGCACCGCUCUGCCACUCUCUCAGCCAUACACUGUAUAUAAAAGAUGGGUGUAGGCUCUGGAUCUGCAUUCUUUCUUACAGCCAGCAGGGGGCGACUCUCUGGUCAAAAAAAGCAGUCAGAUUAUAUAGAAGUCUAUGAGAAAAUUACACUACUUCUCACUUGAUUUGUUAUCUCAAUAAACAUUUAGUUUAUAGGAGUUUAUAGUCUCAAUCCUUAGUUUCAAGUCUUUGUCAAUGCAACACGAUGUUCAUUCAGUAAAAUAUGGCUCCAUUUAAAGGAAAAAAUAAACAAUAAGGCAGACUAUGUUUUAGGGCAGGGCAACCAUGUGAUUAGUUCACCCUUAGCUCAUCACAUUUGGUUUCAAACGACCAAUAUGGUCACUGCCAAAUGCUAAAUUCACAAGGCAAUGGGUAACAUCAUGGUCACCACAUCCAUGAGAAAUAUAAAACUCUAUAUCGCUGUAACUGGAGCACACCAGCUCACCUGCAACUUUGUUCAAACAGUGUAAAACUGCUCUGUGGUGUAGCACAAGCUGUAGUAUUGGAGUAAUUCAGUCACACAUGUUUGAACCAGAAACUGAUUCUGAAGAUGAAACCGAAAGCUUGACAGGAUUGGCACUUUAGGUUUGUUAUGUAUAAAAUCCUGGAAGUUCACGUCUGUUUUUGAGACGAUCAGUGCAGCUUCAAGUAGAAAAAGCUCAAUCAUGGUGUUGACUGAUUGUGUCUUGCAGCAUAUAAAAAAAAAACACCAUAUGUACAUGAUAACGGUAAAAAACUAAACAGAUUUUCACUGGAGGAGGGUCUUUAAUUGAAUAUAAUUGGUGGUGUUAAAUUGUUGUGGAAGUAGAAGGUUUCAUGAAAUGAUGUUUAACAAAAGUCAAACCUCACAGGAAUAAAAAAAAAAAUAGUGGAAAUACGCCAUUUUGUUCAUUUCACAUUUGUAUCUCUAGUGAUUACCGAAUCACACACUUCUGUUUGCCAUGAUUUAUUAGUUAAACCCGUUUAUGUUGCAAAAUUUCCCAACCUCCACCAGGUCUAAAACUUUGCAGUGGUAAUGAGACUCUUACUUGAACUUUUUUAUUUACUGUUUUUCCCACUCACGUUUUUAUAAACAAAUUAAAAAUGCACAUAAAAGCAGCUGGAUGUGGAAAUGCUCUUCACGAGUUCCCACUGUUGUAGCAUCUCAGCGCUGCAAUUUAGUCAGCUGGCUGUCUAUCAUCAUAAAUAAGACACAACUGGUGAAAGGUGCCUCCGGUUCUCGUCUGUUACACCCAUUAACAUGCUCAAGUGCCUGAAGUCGACAAUCCAUGUUGACUGAAGCUCCUCAUCCAAACAAACAACGGGCCCACUAAAUCACAGUGCAGUCGACCUACAUUUACACACCACUGGAAGGGGACUGGGACCCCAGGGAGACAGGAUCACAAGGAUGAGCCGCUGGUAAUGCUGCUCCAUUGUUCCGUUAAGAUGGGAACAGGCCAACAGAGUGAAUGUUAAAGAAGAUAAAGUGAGGCGAGAUUUGUUCCACAUGCUUUCUUCUUUCACUCUGCGGCUCCAAGAGUCAGGCAAAGUUAAGUUGUGUCACUUGUGGUGCCUCUUUAAUAUACUUCGACAUCUGCGUAAAAGUUAAAUGACCUUUUAGUGUGCUUUGCUGCACUGUUCUUGCAGAGAUUUAGAUAAGAAGAUUAAGAAGUCUAGGCGUUAGUAUGAAAUGACAGCUGUUAAACUAAUAGCUUAGCAUAAAGAUGGAUCAGAAGUAAACACCUGGAUGCUGGGCCUUCCAUGACACCAAUAGGUUUCCUGAACAGCAGUUUUGAAGCCCUGCAGAAGUAUGUUUUUAUAGGGAUGUCCUGAUGUAGAUCAACUGCUAUAAUGGGCACUGACCUAAGAAUAACUAUUUGUUUGCAAGCAUUGUCACACUGGUGUCGCAAACUAGAGUAUGGACACAUAAUAUGUCCAUGAAGACACUGACAUACACCAAUCAGCCACAACAUUUGACCACCGACAGCUGAAGUGAUCGAUCAUCUUGUUCUAAUGCAAUGUUCUACUGGGGAACCUUGAGUCCAGACAUUCAUGUGGACGUUUGACAUGCACCACCUACCUAAGCAUUGCAGGUCAAACAACCCACCACCCCCAAUGGGAACAGCAGUUCUUGAUUCCAGUCGUCACCCUCAGCAGGACAAUGCAACCCAACACACCGCAAGAACUGUUCAGGAGUGGCCUGGGGAACACGACAGAGCCAAGGUGUUCACCCAGGUUCCACACUCCCCAGAUGCAAAUCUUACUGAGCAUCUGUGGGAUGUGUCAGGAUAAGCCUGAUCUAGGUAGGACCCACCCUGCAACCCACAGGACCCACAGAAUUCACUAGUGCCAGAGGACAUCCCCAGAGAUCCUGAGUCCAUGUCCCACUGGGUCAGAGAGUUUUAGCAGCAUGAAGGAGACCAACACAACAUUUAGCAGGUGGUCAUAAUGUUAUGCCUGAUUGGUUUAUAUCAUUGUAUCAUAGGGAUACAAUCGUAAUUGAUCCUGACUUGAUAUAUUAAAUACACGCUGGCCAGAUGCCAUUAAGCCUCACGAAAGAUUUUGUCAUGGUGUGCAUUUACUAGCUAAACCCCCCCUCCGCUUGCUAAUGCGGAAGUGUCCACCUCUUCUGGUGACUUAAGUAUUAAUCAUUUAGAGACUUCACCUGACAAAAUCUGAACUGUGUAUUAUCUAGGAACAUAGCAUUAGGUAUCAGGAUAUACCAAUUAUUAAAUUAAAAUUCUGAUUUCGUAUUUUUAAAGCUGUACUUUGCAGACUGGCAUUUUCAGGUGGAAAUGGUUGAUUUGCUCAUGAUCUGCCUUUCAGCAUAUAAAAAACACUAUAUUGAAAUGUUAACAAGGUAAAAGAAACUUGAUUUCUCCUGGAAGGCAUCUUGACAUGUAGGUCUACAAGGACUGACUAGCUCCACUAGCAGGUUACAGCAAGGGACUGGUAAAGGAGUUGAGCUGUGUCAGUCGUAUCUCUAGUUAAUUUUAGCAAAUUUGUUCUUGUGGUAUAGAUAUUUUUUUACAGUCAUAUUUUAUUCUGUGAUUGGUCCUUUUUCAUUCUUGGAGAGUUCUGAUAAGCUUUAAAUAAGGUUUGUAUGUACGACAGCUAGCAUUUUUAAUAUAAAAAGUAUUUUUUUUUAUUAAAAAUGAUAAUUGCUAUUGAAUUUCCCUUCGGGGAUAAAUAAAUAAAUAAAUCAAGUUAUUGUAUUUUUA